CAACCCUCGAGCCCCAGUGGCCCGGUGUUGGGGAUCUACUUCCGUAGGCCCUUAAAAGCAGUGGCGGACCCGCGUGGCCCUUCCUUGCGUAGUAAUUACAGCUCGCAUCGGAGUCCCGUAGGCACUUGCCUCUAAACCCCCUACAAGCCCGCCUCGUGCGGCAAC
rnacentral:misc_RNA from 1 species